rnacentral:rRNA from 1 species
UGGGGAAUAUUGGACAAUGGAGGAAACUCUGAUCCAGCAAUUCUGUGUGUGUGAAGAAGGUUUUAGGACUGUAAAACACUUUUAGUAGGGAAGAAAAAAAUGACGGUACCUACAGAAGAAGCAACGGCUAAAUACGUGCCAGCAGCCGCGGUAAUACGUAUGUUGCGAGCGUUAUCCGGAAUUAUUGGGCUUAAAGGGCAUCUAGGCGGUAAGACAAGUUGAAGGUGAAAACCUGUGGCUCAACCAUAGGCUUGCCUACAAAACUGUUGAACUAGAGUACUGGAAAGAUGGGUGGAACUACACGAGUAGAGGUGAAAUUCGUAGAUAUGUGUAGGAAUGCCGAUGAUGAAGAUAACUCACUGGACAGAAACUGACGCUGAAGUGCGAAAGCUAGGGGAGCAAACAGG